rnacentral:rRNA from 1 species
UACGUAGGUGGCAAGCGUUGUCCGGAUUUACUGGGCGUAAAGGGAGCGUAGGUGGAUAUUUAAGUGGGAUGUGAAAUACUCGGGCUUAACCUGGGUGCUGCAUUCCAAACUGAAUAUCUAGAGUGCAGGAGAGGAAAGUAGAAUUCCUAGUGUAGCGGUGAAAUGCGUAGAGAUUAGGAAGAAUACCAGUGGCGAAGGCGACUUUCUGGACUGUAACUGACACUGAGGCUCGAAAGCGUGGGGAGCAAAC